rnacentral:rRNA from 1 species
UACGGAGGGUGCAAGCGUUAAUCGGAAUUACUGGGCGUAAAGCGUGCGUAGGCGGUUCGUUAAGUCUGUUGUGAAAGCCCCGGGCUCAACCUGGGAAUGGCAAUGGAUACUGGCGAGCUAGAGUGUGUCAGAGGAUGGUGGAAUUCCCGGUGUAGCGGUGAAAUGCGUAGAGAUCGGGAGGAACAUCAGUGGCGAAGGCGGCCAUCGUGGGACAACACUGACGCUGAGGCACGAAAGCGUGGGGAGCAAACAGGAU